CAAGUCGAGCGGCAGCGGGAAGUAGUUUACUACUUUGCCGGCGAGCGGCGGACGGGUGAGUAAUGUCUGGGAAACUGCCUGAUGGAGGGGGAUAACUACUGGAAACGGUAGCUAAUACCGCAUGACCUCGCAAGAGCAAAGUGGGGGACCUUCGGGCCUCACGCCAUCGGAUGUGCCCAGAUGGGAUUAGCUAGUAGGUGGGGUAAUGGCUCACCUAGGCGACGAUCCCUAGCUGGUCUGAGAGGAUGACCAGCCACACUGGAACUGAGACACGGUCCAGACUCCUACGGGAGGCAGCAGUGGGGAAUAUUGCACAAUGGGCGCAAGCCUGAUGCAGCCAUGCCGCGUGUGUGAAGAAGGCCUUCGGGUUGUAAAGCACUUUCAGCGAGGAGGAAGGCCGAUAACUUAAU
rnacentral:rRNA from 1 species